CCGCCCAGGGUCGUCCUGCCCGGGAGGAGGGCAAAGGAGGCGACUCUCCGGCAGGGAAUAAAGCACUGGCUCGGCCCUUGGCCAGCGUGCACGGCUAGCUUGGGCGGCUGGACGUUAGCGGGUCACAGCCUCACCCGCACCCACCUGCAGGGAACUUCGGCCCCACCCCAGAGUCUGCUCCAGCUCGAGGCUCGGCGGCCUGGUGACCCGGCUCCGCCGCCCAGCGAGAGUGCAGGAACCUCAGCGGGCCUGGACGUGUGGGCCAGAGGAACCCUACUGCAGGAAGUCAAGAAAGGACUGGCCAGGUCCCCGUCGACCGAGAGCCUGACUGUGCACACUCAAGACCUUCUCAGCUCACCCUCGCCUAGCAGCUUGAGUGAGGAUGAAAACUCCGAAAGUGAGCGCCCUGCGCUCUUCUGCGACUCACACUCAACUCUGAGGGGGUCACAAGUUGCUGCAAGGGGUUUCCGUGGGUGCCGGAAUUUGGCGUCUCCAGCUCCUGUUUUCACAAGAUUUUGUGACAGCCGCUCUUCAAUGAGUAAACUGAAGACCAGUGAAGUGAGACAAAUUCUGCAGAAUUGAAAUCCCAUGCGCUGCCUCCUGAUGGAUGCUUCUCAACACCACAGCUAGGAAACACUGUCAUUAUUCACUUAUGCUGAUGACGGUAAUGGAUGACAGUGAUAUUAUUGAUUCCUGUUCUCUCAAUGCUUGUGAUCAUUUUUAGGUGUCAUUAAACCCCUUUG
rnacentral:lncRNA from 1 species